AACGUAGGUACCGAGCGUUAUCCGGAUUUACUGGGCGUAAAGCGCGUUCAGGCGGUUUGGCAAGUCGGGCAUGAAAUCUCUCGGCUCAACCGGGAGAGGUUGUCCGAUACUGCUAGACUUGAGGGCAGUAGAGGGUGGUGGAAUUCCGGGUGUAGCGGUGAAAUGCGUAGAUAUCUGGAGGAACACCGGUGGCGAAGGCGGCAUCCUGGACCGGUAUUGACGCUGAUGCGCGAAAGCCAGGGGAGCAAACGGG
rnacentral:rRNA from 1 species